UCGAAGGGCUCUGGAGAGUAGUCGUGACGGUAACGCCAGGCGUUUCGUCGCGCUCACCGAAGGGGAGAGGCGAGGACCGGCCGGCAUAUGCCGUACGGUUCACGCCGGAUCUCUCAGGUCGAAGGACAGAGGGCGGCGG
rnacentral:ncRNA from 1 species